GCAAGUCGAACGAGAACGUACCUUCGGGUGCUAGUAUAGUGGCGCACGGGUGAGUAUCGCGUGGGAAUCUACCUUUUAGUUUGGAAUAACAGUUGGAAACGACUGCUAAUACCAUAUACGCCCUUAGGGGGAAAGAUUUAUCGCUAAAAGAUGAGCCCGCGUUAGAUUAGCUUGUUGGUGAGGUAAUGGCUCACCAAGGCUACGAUCUAUAGCUGGUCUGAGAGGACGAUC
rnacentral:rRNA from 1 species